ensembl:lncRNA
CUCCGCCCCUGCCUGAUCCCGCCCCCACCCCUGCUCUCCCCUUCUGGGUUUAUGCAGACACACUAGAGAACAGGGCUGCCCCAGUUUUGGAUUCUGAUCUAUCAUUUAUUAGCUGGGUGACACUGAGCAAAUGUCUUAACAUCUCUGUGCCUCGGGCUCUCCCUGGCAGCAGUUCAGGGGUGGUGAUUGAGUAGUCUGCCAGGCUGCAGGGGAGAAUAAAUGAGCCCAGGCUUCUCAAACUCCAGAUGUUAGUAAUGAAAUCCAGCACCACCCUGCGAAAGACUCCUCCUGCCUGCUUUCUGGGGUUUCACAAUCGGCAUCAAGACUCCCCAGCCAGACUUAGAGCACGUCACCAUCUUACUUCCCCACACCCUCCGUCAUAGAUGCCACCUCAUCGGUCCAGCAACUGGCAUUUUAUAACAUCCAAAUAUCCAGAUUGAGAAACUGAGGCUCCAGAGCAGGAAGUGGCUUAUCCGAACACCCCCGGAGCACACAGAUGCAGGAAGUCAGAGCCUCAGCCCAGCUGCCAGGCUUUUUCUGCUAAACUGCUCCCACCUGUGAGAUUCCAGAAGCUUGAAAAAGAAAUUCCUUCCCCAGAGACCAGCUCUAAGCCCAGGGGAGUCAUAAUAAAGAUGAAGAAAAAAAGCU